CACGUUGAAACACCGGUUCCCGUACGUUCACCGAAGUUAAGCAACGUCGAACAUGGUCGGUACCUAAAUGGGUGACCAGUUGGGAAUACAAGGUGCU